rnacentral:lncRNA from 1 species
CUCACUCACUCCCCAUCACACAUCCUCAUCAGCCUCCUCCCCGCAGCCCCCCCACCCCGCCCCUGGCCCAGAGGUUUCUGGUUUUGCCACAAAAUAGCAAACACCAGCACAAAGUAGAUCACGGCCAAAUCCUCCGAGGGAAGCGGGUUUGGGUUUGCAAACAGACAGCGAUGUCGCUACCUACCCCAGGAGUCCUUGCUUUGCCACCACUGACCUCAUGAAUCCCCAACCAGCAGGCCUGAUUGGUGGGCUUUUAAACGUGACUAAUGAAGAAAAUGUACCCUAGUGGCGGGAGUGGGGGGGGGGAGCCCCCCUCCCUACUGCCAAAUAGGAUGUGCCCUGAUGCAUUGUAUUUUUUACAAGAUAAAAAGAAAACAAAGCCCAACACAUACAUUUGUGGCCAUGCAGAAAUAAAUUUAAAACAAACUCCCACCCCCGCCUCUUUUUCCCCCCAUCCCAGUCCUAGGCAAUGACAGGCGAGAAGGAAUAAUUCCCGGUGCAGGGUCUUACAUCAGUUAAAGGUACCUUUGAAUGAAUGUCAGCUCCUUUCUACCUUAGUGCCAGUCGAUCGAUGCUUCAUUAGGGCUGAAUUGUCUUUUGCCCAUGCAACCUUGAAAACAGUCCCUUUAAUUACCUGUGAGGAAGUCGGGGACCCUCCUUUUCCCUCUGUCUCCCUUCCCUCUUUCUCUCUGGUUCCCCUCUCUCUCUCUUUCUCUCUCUUCCCCCUCUCCCCCGCCCCUUCUCCAGCAGAAGGCUCAGGAAAGUGAGGGUGGCUAGAUGGGGGUCACUCACAUUUUUAUUCACAGUCAGCCUGAGUACAUCACUCCUCCAUAGAGAAGCUGGGAGGAGAAGAGAAAGGUGGGGGCGGGGGAAUCAAAAGGAAAAGAGAGAAAUAUCGGACCCUGAGGUGAGAGGGCAGGGUUCAAGUCCAGACUACAGAUCUAUUGAAGAGGUUUCAGCCAGGCAGGCCUCCACUUGACUUUCUCAUCAGCCAGCUUUAUGGAUUCUCAGCUGCUCCCUUUACUCCACGGCUCCAUGCAUCUCCCCGCUGCUAAUUAUCAGGGGUUUCUCAGGAAAGCAGAGCCUGGCCCUGCUGCGGACCCCAAGGCAUGCUGGAUGGGCUUCACCCAGCUCACAAGGAAAAGGCGAAACCUGAUGGCUAAAUAUGUUACAGGAACUGGGGAGUGAAAUACAAGGAAGAGUUUGGGCAGCUCCGGUUAAUCCCUCCCCUCAAAACUGAAGGCGUUCCAAAUCACUGUAGGCCCGGCGAGUUGAGUACUGGAAGAAAGUGCAUAAAUAAUCGUAUUUGUUAUGCACUAUUAAAAAUUCAGAAAGAUUUUAAAUUCAAGUGAUAAUCUGGUCAUCCUGAGGGAUAGGCUUGUAUUUAAUAGCCAGGUAUUUUUACCUAUUCAAUUAUGAUGAGAAAUAUUCUAAUGAAGUCAUAAACCUCAGCAGAGGAAUGCUAAUCACCGGUGCGUGCUCUGCGAGCGCCGUGUUGAAAAACACACCUGCCCAAGCGGAGCUUCCUCCUGACGUGGUGAUUCAGUCUCAUUCUUGCACCCCCUUCUUCAGAGGUCCCGGGUCCCUGGACGUACGGGGCUAAAAACUCCGAAGCCCAUCUGAUCUUCACUCCAGUGGCCACAUUCUAUCCAAGCAAGAAGUCAGGGGUCAAGAACUCAUUCCCCCCCAAAUUUGCACAACAGGCUGAAAUCGCGUUGCGCAGCCCCUUUCCCAACCUCCCACCCCACCUCCACAUGCGCGCAUGCGCGCGCGCGCACACACACGCACACAUAGACUCCGCAGGUGUGGGGUUCCCAGAUAACAUAUGGGGCCAUAGUUCAAUUCGAAUUUCAGGUAAUGACUAAUUUUUUAUAUGUCUCUCUUCUAAUAUUAGACCAAAAAUGAUUUGUUAUUUAUAUGGAAUUCAAACUUAACUAGGCAUCUUUUUUUUUUUUUUUUUUUUGUACUGGCUAAGUCUAGCAGCCAAGAUUCCUCUUCAACCCAGGUAUUUCCUGCAAACAAAUGAGGGUAGCAGUGACUUGAAGUCACUUAGAAAAUACAUAAUUAUAAACUGAUUUGACUAUUUGGGGGUCUGGCUCAUGACACAGAAGCGUGAGGUGUCACACUGUGUGCUGUUGGUCUGCUCUAUCAAAAGCCAAUUCAUUCAGUCUCCAUAGAUAAACUCCGGCAAUUGAAGAGGGGACAAUAGGCAUGUGUCUGCCCAUUCAGUUCAGGUGUAUAAACAUGAGGAUCCUGGAUGACAAAAUCGCCAACCCGCAUGUACCCAGGCUGGGUUCCCUGUGUAUUGGCAGGGCCUUGGUAUUGGCCCAGUUCAGCCCUGUCUGGCUGGGAGGCCCAGACACACACACCUCUUGCAGCCCCCACCCUGGCCUGCAUCUUCUGGUCCAGUGAUGAACCGUGAGCCUUUACACGCACUGGUCUUGUCCCUGGAAAGUGCAUGGGAAGGAGGCAGGUGAUGCAUCCUGCAUCCAUGCUCAAUGCUGGACUUCAUUUGUGAACCUGCGAUGCUACCACAUUCAGCUAAAAUAACCACCCAACAGGAGAGCAGGGACCCAGGGCUGGGAGCAGAGGCAGGGAGACAUACUCAUGUACCUGCUUUGCCAGUGGACUGUGAGCAGCCUUUGUGCUCUGAGUGUCCCGUGUAAGGAGAAGGGAGAGGGGCCCAUGGCCCUCGCGCUGGCUCUCAGCUGGGUGGUCAGAGGCCAUUCUUCUACCCUCUUAUUUAGUCUGCCAAGUAAAUAGAAAAAUUUCCUUUCUAUUUACAUGUUCCUGUGGGCAUGUUUUAAAUACUUUGUGCUGGGAGAGGACUUGUCAAAUCUCACCUAAGUUUGCUGGGCCCAAUAUAAAUUUGCUUAAAGAUGAGGAAGUAGCUCAGGAUGCAGAGGGGUAGGCAGAGAGUGAGGGUCAGGCUGAUGCAUUCAGAUACCUCCUGCCCUGUGGGCAGGGGGCAGUGCUGUCAUUUCUGCAAGGAGCGGAGGAAACGUGGUCUUUGAGACGCCUGCCACUGCCUAUUCUGAAAGAGCAUCCAUCUCAUUUGCCUGCAUCCCAAAUUCCCUACAUUUAUGAAGCGUAAGCAAAGCAAUGCAUGCGUGCACAGGCUCAGCCUGGCGCACUCCAGUGUCUGCAGUGACCUCGGAUCGUGAGUGUGUUGCUGGAUUCUGCCUGCAGCUGAUUCUGGAAACUUGCGAAUAGGGUGUUCCUGGUCUUGCUUGCAGUCAAGGCAUAUAUUCAUCAGCAAGGACAGUAUUUGAUCUAGAAUGCACUGUAGGUGUUAAGAUGAUUUUUGAAAUGUUACUGUUUUCAUGAGCAAUUGUGGCACCGUUUCUGAAAAGAGCAAGUGGUCCACAGACACUUAGAAAAGAAAAGGUGAGAGUUCCCAUUGUGGCUUGGUGGGUUAAGGACCUGACAUUGUCUCUCUGAGGAUGCAGGUUCAAUCCCUGGCCUCACUCAGUGGGUUAAGGAUCCAGUACUGAUGCAAGCUGUGGUGUAGGUUGUCGAUGUGGCUGGAUCCGGUGUUGCCGUGGCUGUGGCAUAGGCCAGCCUCUGCUGCUUGAUUCACCCCUGACCUGAGAACUUCCACAGGCCUCAGAUGUGGCCAUAAAAAGAAAAAAGGGGUGGGGAGCUGUGUGUGGGUGACUUCUUUUGGGAGUCAGGGAAUGGAGUUUUCUCCAGAGGAGAAAAGUGACUGUUCUUUCUUUUCUCCCUUUGACCUGUGGUGGAAAUGAUUUAUCCUUCUUGGUUAAGGUAGGAAGUUAAGAGACGAAGACACUCCUCUUAGAAAAUUGGGGGCAGGGAGGUAGGGUUGGGGGUCUUUGGGCUCCUGCAGGAAACAGGGGUCAUGUCCUUUGUUAGGGUUUCUUCUUAUAAGAGAAAACGUGUUUUCCCUAAAAGGAGAUUUAAAAAGAGAUCUUGACU